rnacentral:rRNA from 1 species
UUGCUCCUACGGGGGGCAGCAGUGGGGGAUAUUGCACAAUGGGGGAAACCCUGAUGCAGCGACGCCGCGUGAGUGAAGAAGUAUUUCGGUACGUAAAGCUCUAUCAGCAGGGAAGAAUAAUGACGGUACCUGACUAAGAAGCCCCGGCUAACUACGUGCCAGCAGCCGCGGUAAUACGUAGGGGGCGAGCGUUAUCCGGACUCACUGGGUGUAAAGGGAGCGUAGACGGCCAAGCAAGCCAGGGGUGAAAGCCCGGGGCCCAACCCCGGGACUGCCCUUGGAACUGCAUGGCUGGAGUGCGGGAG